rnacentral:lncRNA from 1 species
UCCGCUAUCAAAUCAACUACAUACUUACCCCUGUUUAUACUAUGUCUACCAUGCAUUUCAAUAAGUAAUCAUGUUUAUAACCAAAGCUAGAUGCGUUUACAAUGCCUUCCUACGGGAAAUUAUAAAUACGACACCCCUGAAUACUCACGGGUUGAAAUGCUACAAUGAUAGUUCUGUGCGUUUGCAGAGUAAUUUAUUCCUAUAACUGAACUAUCGAUUGGCGUACCUAAGUACCUUUACUUAAGAUUGUAAUCCUUGUGCACCCACACGGAGCCAGGCCAUAGCUUUGCAUAUCGUAAGUAAGGAUGGUUAGGAAGGCCAAUCUGGCAAUUCUAAUCAUUAGUACCAGACUGCACUUCCUAGGCCAGCCCCGUAAAAAGCCUUGGUUUAUCUUUCUGAAGUGAUGGUGGUUAGGAUAUGCCAAGAACGUUUCUAGUGUUAUUAUUAAGGAUGAGCUAAAACUCUAUCUUUAAUAGUUUCGCUAAGAAACGCCAACAGUCCACUGCUCUGAUGGCGAUGUACCGAAGGAAAAGACACCAUAGAGGAUGCUUAAACCUGGCACAGAAAUCCUACCAAUUCUACUACUGGGAGAGGCAUCCAUGACAGAUAAGAUGAAGAAGGAGAGAGGAGAGGUGGGAGGGAAUUCAUUGAUCUGCAUGGAGCAAGAGGAGAGGAGGUGUUGGCUGCUGUCUGUGGAGCAACAGCAGGUGGAAGAGGUGGCGUGAGAGGGGGAGAGGGGCUGCCCAUUUGCUAUGUGCGUGAGGGAGGGGGAGAGAAGAAUAUAUAGCUGGGUUUCCUGCAUGGGUGCAUGCAAUUGAAGAGAAAUAAAAUAGAGUAAAAGAGUGCUAUCAAGUGAGGAUUGAAGAGAUCUGUGUAACCCAGGGAAUUAAGGGGG